AGUCACACAUUAGAUACCCGCGUAGUCCCAGCCGUAAACUAUGCGCGUUAGGUGUAUCGGUGACCACGAGUCACCGAGGUGCCGAAGGGAAACCGUGAAACGUGCCGCCUGGGAAGUACGGUCGCAAGGCUGAAACUUAAAGGAAUUGGCGGGGAGCACCACAACGGGUGGAGCCUGCGGUUUAAUUGGACUCAACGCCGGGAAGCUCACCGGAUAAGACAGCGGAAUGAUUGCCGGGCUGAAGACUCUGCAUGACUAGCUG
rnacentral:rRNA from 1 species